rnacentral:tRNA from 1 species
AGGGGUAUAGCUCAGCAGGUAGAGCAACGGUCUCCAAAACCGUGUGUCCAGAGUUCGAUUCUUUGUGCCCCUGCCA